rnacentral:rRNA from 1 species
GACGAACGCUGGCGGCGUGCUUAACACAUGCAAGUCGAGCGGAGCGGCGAACGGGUGAGUAACGCGUGAGUAACUGCCCCCCUCUCUGGGAUAACAGUUGGAAACGGCUGCUAAUACCGGAUAGCGGUGGAUGACUCGCGGCCUAUCAGCUUGUUGGUGGGGUAGUGGCCGACCACGGCGAAGACGGGUAGCCGGCCUGCGAGGGGGACCGGCCACAUUAGGCUAAGAUACGGCCCAGACGCCAACGGGGGACAUCAGUGGGGAGUAUUGCACAAGGGGGGAAACCCUGAGGCAGCAACGCCGGGUGCGUGAUGACCGCCUUCGGGUUGGAAACCGCUUUCAGCCAUGACGCGGUAGUGGCAGAAGAAGCACCGGCUAACUACGUGCCAGCAGCCGCGGUAAUUC